rnacentral:lncRNA from 1 species
GUGAAAGCACAUUUGCUCCCUGGGUGGUUUUGGUAAUUAAUGACAACAUACUUUGUGGUUGGACUAAUGCUUUUAUCAAGUAUGUUUCAGGAAGUUCAAUCACUCUGGCAUGGCAAAAGGACUGGAAAGGUGGACACCUAAGAUGCUAAGACAAGCAUUGGCAAAAGCUCAAGACUCUUUUUUUUGGUUUAGUGAUCCAAGAUCACAUUGAGUCUAUAGGAAAGCCAAUACUAUUAAAAGGGGAUGAGGUUAUGAUAAUGAUCUGGUUGCUCAAAGUGCUUAGUGAUCUAUCUCCCAAACCAUCAGCAAUCUUUCAUUCCAACAUACACUCAUAAGUAAUCUCGGUCCCACCGAUUCCAUAAACUCAGUCACACCGAGAUGAACCACCUCAGCCACAAAGCCAAACCCUAGUAAUUUCGGUUUUUCCGAUUCCAAACUCAGUCUCACCGAAACUAGUGUUGCCAACCUUCUGUAACCUUCUGUCAUCAAAUCGGUGUCACCGAGAUGAUAAAGUCGGUCCCACCGAGAUUGGAAAACCCUAGUCUUUGGAAGAAUCGGACUCACCGAGAUUGUAUUUUCGGUCCCACCGAAAAUCCCAACGUUCACAAGAUUUGAACUUUCGGUCUCACCGAGUUGUCAACUUCGGUCUGACCGAGAUUGGUCAAAUGUGUGUAACGGUUGGAUUUUGUGUGGAGGCUAUAAAUACCCCUCCACCUCCUCUUCAUUCGUGGAGAGAGCCAUCAGAAAGAACUACCACUCCUACCUUACAUUUCUGAGAAGAAAACUACCUACCCUUGUGUUGAGAUCAAGUUGCUCCACUCCCACCAUAUGAAACUUGAUUUCUAGCCUUCCCAAGUUGCUUUCCACUCAAUCCUUUCUUCCACCACAGCCAAAUCAGUGAGGAGAGUUGAGUGUUGGGGAGAUUAUCAUUUGAAGCACAAGAGCAAGGAGUUCAUCAUCACCAACACCAUCUAUUACCUUUUGGAGGGUGGUGCCUCCUAGAUUGGUUAGGUGUCGCUUGGGAGCCUCCGUCAAGAUGUGGAGUUGAACCAAGAAGUUUGUAAGGGCAAGGAGAUCGCCUACUUCGUGAAGAUCUACCCCGAGUAAGGCUAGUCCUCCGUGGGCGUAUGCCAUGAUGGCAUAGACAAGGUUGCUUCUUCGUGGACCCUUCGUGGGUGGAGCCCUCCGUGGACUCUCGCAGCCGUUACCCUCCGUGGGUUGAAGUCUCCAUCAACGUGGAUUGACGAUAGCACCACCUAUCGGAACCACGAGAAAAAUCUCCGUGUCUCCAAAUUGCGUUUGAUCUUCUCCACCUCUCUUUACUUCAUGUGCAAUUUACUUUCCGCUGCCCAUACUCUAGAAUUGCAUGUGUAGUAUGCUACUUGACUUGUGCAAUAUGCUAAAUCUGCCAAGAACUUGUCUUUGUAAAAGGCAUAAUUUUUAUCUUGUCGAGUAGUCUAAUCACCCCCCCUCUAGACACUCUUACCUUCAACGAUCCUACAAUUGGUAUCAGAGCAUUGAUUUCCAUUGCUUUGGUUUGCACACCAUUGGAGGAAGAUGGACGUGUCUACGUUUGGGAGUGUUAGCCAUAGAGUGCCUACUCUUGAUGGAGUGUCCUAUAGCUCGUGGAGGAUUGAAAUGCUUGCUAUCUUUAAGAUGUACAACUUGCGCAAAUAUGUUGAAACCCCAUAUGUACCUCCAUUUGACCCCUUGCACCCUACUAUGGAUGAAGAGCUUGAUUUGCUUCGUAACCUUAGAACUGUAAAUCUUAUCAUUAGAGGUUUACCCGAUAACUUACUUGAGCUUGUCACAAACUUUGAGUGCGCCUAUGCCAUAUGGAAGUUCUUGGAAGAACUUUGUCCUGACUACUCUUUGAGAGGUCUUGAUGAAUUUCUAUACAAGACUAUUGAAUUUGAUAUGAUGCGCCCCAAUGAUCCCAACUUUGAUAAAUGCUUCUUUGAGCUUCGUGAUCUUAUGAAAAAGAAGGGUGAUCCCGGACUUAUCAAUGUUCUAAUUAGAAAUGCUCUUGUAUUGCAUUCCGAUGAUUAUUGUCACUUUGACAAAACUAAUGCAAGUCAUUGUCAAAUUGACCUAGGUGUUGAUGAUGAACUAUCUAUGGGUCAAUAUGAUGAUGAGCAUGAGCAUGAUGACAAUUACUCCGAUUCGGACACCGAGCUAGACAAGAUCAUGAAGAGUCUCAAUCUUAUGGCAAAUCUGAGAGACUACAUAUCCGGUGGAAAAGAGUGGAUUCUUGAUAGUGGAUGCACCGAUCACAUGACCGGAGACGAAGACAUGUUUCGAGAGCUUGCAAAGAACGAUGGUCCACGCAAGUAUGUGACUUUUGGAGACAACUCCAAGGGUAAGGUACUUGGCCUUGGUAAGGUGGCCAUAUCUCAUGAUAGCUCCAUUCAAAAUGUCAUGCUUGUUGAAUCACUUGGAUACAAUCUACUUUCCGUGUCUAGAUUAGCUGACUUUGGAUUCAAUGUGCUAUUCACCGAAAUAGAUUUCCAAGUUUUUCGUCGUGACAAUCAUAACAUGGUAUUUACCGGUAUCCGUAGAGGUGAUCUAUAUAUCGUUGAUUUCACUAAGAAAGCUCAACCUAGAACUUGCUUCAUUGCUAAAUCCGCUAAAGGUUGGCUUUGGCAUAGAAGGCUUGGACAUGUUGGUAUGCGUAAUCUAGAUAAGCUAAUUAAAGGUGAUCAUAUUCUUGGUGUUAAAGAUGUUUUCUUUGACAAAGAUAGACUCUGUAGUGCUUGUCAAGCAGGAAAACAAGUAGGUGGAAGUCAUCCCGUGAAGAACAUCAUGACCACAAGGAGACCGCUUGAGCUUCUUCAUAUGGAUCUCUUCGGUCCCAAUGCUUACAAAAGCCUUGGUGGUAACUCCUUUGGUCUAGUAAUAGUUGAUGAUUAUUCCAGAUUUACGUGGGUAUUUUUCCUUGAUGAAAAAUUGCAGGUUCAGAGAAUCUUCAAAACCUUUGCCAGAAAGGCCCAAAAUCAAUUCGAGGUGAAGAUCAAGAAAGUUCGGAGUGACAAUGGAACGGAGUUCAAGAAUGCCCAUGUGGACUCUUUUCUCGAUGAGGAAGGAAUUCUACAUGAGUUCUCGGCAACGUACACACCUCAACAAAAUGGAGUUGUUGAGAGGAAGAACCGAACGCUCAUAGAGAUGGCGAGAACGAUGCUUGACGAAUACAAGACACCGAAACACUUUUGGGGAGAAGCCGUCGAGACAGCUUGUCAUGCUAUCAACAGGCUUUAUCUUCAUAAGCUCCUCGGCAAGACUUCAUACGAGCUCCUCACCGGUAACAAACCCCAAGUGGGAUACUUUCGUGUCUUUGGUUCAAAAUGCUAUAUCCUUGAUAAGCAUCGUCGGUCUAAGUUUGCUCCUAAAACUCAUGAAGGCUUUUUCCUCGGUUAUGGAUCAAACUCCCACACCUACCGUGUCUACAAUAAUUUCACCCGAAAGGUUGAAGAGACGGUAGAUGUGAAGUUUGAUGAAUCUAAUGGCUCGCAAGUAGAGCAAAUGCCUAUUGAUGUAGGAGACAAGGACCCAUCGGAAGCCAUUCAAGAUCUAUCCAUUGGAAAGAUUCGUCCCAUGGAAGUGAAGGAGAGUACCUCAUCUACAUAUGUGGAGCCCCCUACCUCACGGAGAGAUGAACCUCAAGGCAACAUGGAGGCUUCCACAAGUGGAACUCACCAAGAUGAGGAAGUGCAACAAGAAGAUCCACCACAACCUCCUUCCCCACCACCUCAAGACAACACCAACAACAAUGAAGAAGAAGAGGAAGAUGAGGAUGAUGAGGAAACUCAGCCGCGACCACAACAAAAGCUAUCUCGAGUUCGAGCAAGAAUCAAGAAGAAUCAUCCCGUGGAACAAAUGAUGAAUGACAUCGACUCCGGGAGAAUUACUCGCUCUAAAACUCGUUUAGCUAACUUUUGUGAGCAUUACUCAUUCAUUUCUAGUCUUGAACCUAUGAAGGUAGAAGAAGCGCUUGAAGACCCGGAUUGGGUGAACGCUAUGCAUGAAGAGCUACACAACUUCGAGAGGAACAACGUCUGGACUUUGGUAGAGAAGCCCAAUGAUGAUCAAGACGUCAUUGGAACCAAAUGGGUGUUUCGGAACAAGCAAGAUGAGGAUGGACAAGUCAUCCGCAACAAGGCUCGUCUCGUAGCUCAAGGUUACACACAAGUCGAAGGUAUGGACUAUGGUGAGACCUAUGCCCCCGUUGCUAGACUUGAGUCCAUUCGCAUUCUUCUUGCUUAUGCCAACCACCAUGAUAUUACUCUCUAUCAAAUGGACAUUAAAAGUGCUUUCCUAAAUGGUGAAAUUGAGGAGGAAGUAUUUGUGAAACAACCUCCCGGAUUUGUGAAUCCUAAAAAGCCUAAUCAUGUUUACAAGUUGCACAAAGCUCUUUAUGGUCUUAAACAAGCCCCUAGAGCUUGGUACAAAUGCUUAACUAGCUUUCUUCUUGAGAAAGGAUUUGAGAUUGGUAAAAUAGACUCAACGCUUUUCACGAAAAGGGUUGAUAGUGAACUGUUUGUGUGCCAAAUAUAUGUUGAUGAUAUUAUCUUUGGUUCAACUUACCCUCAUUUUAGCGAGAAGUUUGGAAAGCUCAUGUCCGAGAAGUAUGAGAUGUCCAUGAUGAGUGAACUCAAAUUCUUCCUUGGGUUGCAAAUCAAGCAAUCUAAGGAGGGUACCUUUGUCUCACAAACAAAGUACACCAAGGAUCUCUUCAAGAAGUUCAACAUGCAAGAAAGCAAAGGUAUGAGAACCCCCAUGCCUACUAGUGGACAUAAUGACUUGACAAAAGAUGGAGAACCUGUUGAUCAAAAGGUUUAUCGAUCCAUGAUUGGUUCUCUACUAUAUCUCUGUGCUUCUCGUCCUGACAUAAUGUUGAGUGUUUGCAUGUGUGCUCGAUAUCAAGCAGCCCCUAAAGAAUGUCAUCUUAAAGCCGUUAAAAGAAUUGUGAGAUAUUUGAUACACACACCUAACUUUGGCAUUUGGUAUCCUAAGAGGGCCUCUUUCGAUCUUGUUGGCUAUUCCGACUCGGACUAUGCCGGAGACAGGGUUGAUAGAAAGUCAACUUCGGGUACGUGUCAAUUUCUUGGUCGAUCCCUUGUGUCUUGGUCCUCCAAGAAACAAAAUUCAGUAUCACUAUCUACUGCUGAAGCAGAAUAUAUUGCUGCUGGUUCAUGUUGUGCUCAGUUGCUAUGGAUGACACAAACGCUUAAGGAUUAUGGGAUACAUGCGAGACAUGCUCCUUUGCUUUGUGACAAUGAGAGUGCGAUUAAGAUUGGACACAAUCCUGUGCAACACUCUCGCACGAAACACAUUGAAGUUCGUCACCAUUUUAUUCGUGAUCACAUUGCCAAGGGUGACAUCGAUCUUAAGCAUGUUCGUACUGACAAACAGCUUGCAGAUAUCUUUACAAAACCACUUGAUGAGAAAGUGUUUUGUCGCUUAAGGAGUGAGUUGAACAUCAUUGAUGCUUCAAACUUGGAGUGAAAACUCCAUUGAUGCAUGCAAGGCAUGAGCUUACAUGACUAAUCCUUGAUAUUUCUCUUAUGAUGAUGAUCAUAUGUCUUGGACACAUUUGCCCCCUUGUAUUGCAUCUAACUCCUUGCAGGUACUUGGAUGGUCUACAUUCCACAAGAUUACCACACACUCAAAUCUUGAGUAAUCUUGUCAUUGACCAAGUAUCUAGCCCUUUGGGAUGUUGAGUACAAGGAACAAAAUUCCACAUAUCCUUUUUGACACUGUGUACAUCUAGUAUUUCACUCUUGUCAUCUUGGAUACUCUUGAGUAUUUCCUUGCUUGCCUAACCCAUGUAGGAAGAUGAACUACACAAGUUGAAAUGGUGCUCCAACUUCACAUUCAAUGAGCACCUACAUCAAGUUCACCUACAUGAACAAAGCAACAACAAGCCCAAGGUAUGUUCUUCACAUCUUGAAGGAGCUUUGCUCAAAGUCAUGAGUACAAGCAGCUUCAUAAGAUGUGAUCACAUCAAAUGCUUAAUUGAAAAAUGGCAACCCCAUUUUGAGCUUAAACGAUGAGUAUGACCUAUGAUCAAAUGUUCUCAUUUGACUCCUAAGUCAAUAUACUCAAACAUAGGUGACUUUGUCGCCGACCCUUAUCUAGAUGAAGUACAAAUGUUUUGGAGUUUUUCUAUUUUCUCUUAUGUUCUCUCAUUGAGUUUUCUUUUUUAUCAAAAAAAAACUUCAUCUAGCAAUCUUUUUCAUUUCUAUUCUUCUGUCUUUGUGAAUAUCUUUUUGGCUCUGAUCAAUUCCUUGAAAAUCAUUUACAAAUUCAUUACAAAUCUUUUGGAACAUUCCUUGCAAAGUGAGCUGAAUUAUUUCUGUAUUUCCUUGGAAUUAAACUCGGCGUCACCGACCCAAAACUUUCGGUCUGACCGAAAAAGGAUCUGCCCUAAGUCCCAGACUUUCGGACCCACCGAUCCAUCUAAUUCGGUGUCACCGAUUUUUCCUUUAGGAUAGCAUCUUCUGCAGCUCAACUCAAUGAUUCUUUAUGCAUGUUUCUUAUAGCACAGUUGUGAUUCUUAAGGAUCCCACUUCUUUCCUUCCAUCUUUCCUGACCUUCCUAGUUUACUGUCCUUUUCGGCACUUGAUGUCAAAGGGGGAGAAGAUUUAGGGGGAGCUUAGGGGAGAUUGGGAGAUAAGGGGAGAAGAGAAGAUUUAGGAGGAGAAGAAGAGCAAUCUUACCUUAAGGGGGAGAGAAUCACAUCAAAGCUUUGCCGUGUUCCACAUUGGAUAUUACAUUUGGCAUCAUUCUUUUGAUUUUGCUUUCCUCGCUCUCACAAUUGAGAUCUUAUGAAAAGCAAAAUCUCUCAGAGCUCAUUGAAAAAUCUUUCAGUCUUGGGAGACAUGUUUGCUGAUUCAAGCUUGUGCUCAAUAUGAGACACUCUUUACACAUGUCAUCCCUGGCUUGGUACUCUUGAUGUUCUUGCAGUUGGAUGAAGAAAUACUCUUGUGUUAUCUAACCUUGUUUUCCCAAGUUUAUUUCUUCAGGUACAAUGCCAAGGAACUUCAAGGUAAGUAUAUGCAUCUUGCAUAAUGUACAUGAUGGUGACUUGCUUGUGAAUAUCUGUUGCAAGAAAUCACCAUGUACAUAUGCAUUAUCACUCACUUCUUUUCAGCUGCUCUGAUGCAUAUAGCCAAGCUGCAUGUAGCACAUCUUGCUGUUCUCUCUUGUGUGCUUGUGGUAGUCCAAAACCAUAAUCAAUGAAAAUCUUGCACACUUGUAGGGGGAGUCUGUAUACUACAUGUUUGUCAAAGCUUUAAUGAUAAUUCUGUCUUUCUUUCAGUAAGCUUUGAUGUCUUGUUUUGUGUGUUGCCAUCAAUUACCAAAAAGGGGGAGAUUGAAAGCACAUUUGCUCCCUGGGUGGUUUUGGUAAUUAAUGACAACAUACUUUGUGGUUGGACUAAUGCUUUUAUCAAGUAUGUUUCAGGAAGUUCAGUCACUCUGGCAUGGCAAAAGGACUGGAAAGGUGGACCCCUAAGAUGCUAAGACAAGCAUUGGCAAAAGCUCAAGACUCUUUUUUUUUGGUUUAGUGAUCCAAGAUCACAUUGAGUCUAUAGGAAAGCCAAUACUAUUAAAAGGGGAUGAGGUUAUUGUAACGACCAAAUCUCGAAGGAUUUGAGUCUCUGUGCUUACCGUGCUAGUCCCUGGAUCGAACUCGCUAGCACACACAGUAUAGAUGAAUACCAGAAUAGCAAGUGCAUCAUUUAUUACAACGUAUGAUCCAGAAUGUAUAAAAUAAAACAAUCUGCAUAGCACUUGGCUAGCUUUAUUCAAUCAAACAGCGGAAAGUAGCAGAAAAUAACGAUGAGUCCCAUCAUAGCCCACUGGCGAUGCUGAGUGCAGACUCGCGACCCUAACGGUACCUUACUCUUCGUCUGAAUAUCCUGCAACAUGAGACGUUGCAGCCAUAUAGGUCAAUACUUUGAAUGUAUUGGCAAGUUACACAGGAGUAAUAAUAUAGCAGACCUACAUGUAUAUGCAUAGUACAACAAAGGAAGGCUUGAG